GCCUGGAAUGACGAAAUGACGUUUGCUGCGUGGAGGACGUGGCUAAACGUGAGGGGGCGUGGCCAAGAUGGCCGCGUGCAGGAGCCUUGGGUCCCAGGAGCGAACGAAGUGGUUGUGGCUCAGGCAAAUCGUUCUGGUUAUUGGAUUCCUGCAAGUUGUUUGAGAACUGAUCGAGGUUUCAGGGUAAAGAUGCUGGUGAUUAACAGCCUGAGGAUCAUUCGUCCUGUGUCUCCAUGCAAAUUGCUGUGGAGAACCUUCCAGAUUCCAAGACCCAAGCCAUCCUGCAGCCUCUGUACUUGCACUUACAAAAUCCAGAAAUAAGCCUUGCAUCCACUGUGGGAGAGCGUGGACCUGGUUCCUGGGGGCAAUCAACAGUCACCCAUGAACAUCUGGUGGAGAGACAGUGUUUAUGAUCCCGGCUUAAAACCACUCACCAUCUCUUAUGACCCAGCCACCUGCCUCCACAUCUGGAAUAACGGGUACUCGUUCUUUGUGGAAUUUGAAGAUUCUACAGAUAAAUCAGCUGCAUUGGAAUGCAGUCAAAUUUGAAAACUUUGAGGAUACAGCACUGGAAGAAAAUAACUUGGCUGUGAUAGGAGUAUUUUUAAAGGACAAUUCUCAGUCUCCCUUAAAGAAGUGAAGCUGCCUCCUUUGUGCACUGGCCACUGUCUAAAACCUCCCAGCAAUACUAAGGAGACUACCUGCUGGAUCCUUACUAGAAUUGAGAGAUCAAAUGGUUUUGGCUGUUUUCCCGCUGGAGAAUAUAAAAAAUACACAGUUAAUUGCAGAAACAAAGCCUGGGCAUGAUUCCAUCCUAAGAAGCGAUUCUUCAGGAAGCUGUCCAGAAGGGCCUGGAGCGCCUCUGGACCACUGCUGAUCCCCAGAUACUCCCUGAGGACCAUCACCUAGUCGUCGGAUUCCUGAGUGGUUUUCACUUCUAGAUAAUGACUCAGUGACUCAGUCUCUUGGCCAGGGCACUCUCAUGGAAUUUGGGUCGUUUGGCACUUCCUGCCUGGUGCCCAUCUGUCUAGAUUACUAGACACAAGUAGAUCCAGUAUCACUCUUGUUCACCCCUGACUGAGUCCAUCACCUGGAUCAUUAAGAAGCAGCCAGUAGAGGUUGAUCAUGAUCAGGUACGUCCUCUCCACAAUUUUCAUCUAAGGAAAUCCUCGUCUCCCCCUUUAAAACAAGGCUGGGCUCAGACUGUGGCAUCAGUUUUAACAUCUUGUAAUACUUAUACAUUUUUAUUGAAGGGUACCAACAUCUUGUCUCAGUUUGGACAUGAAUUUAGAGAUAUUUCAAAUUAGCUAGAGAGGAGUUAAAACAUAGAAUAACAUAAGCUUUUUAUAUCUAUAUUUGACAGUGACAUAUGUUUUUAUUAUACAUGCAUUGUGUAGAUUCUCUAUAAAAAUUAAGACCCUUUUAAAUCAAAAAAGAAAGGCUGGAAAUGGGUGUAUUCAAAAUCCUUUAAAAUCCUUAAGGAAGUUUUGCUAUAGAAUCUCAGGAUAAAGACAGAAUCCAACAAUAUUCAUCCAGAAAUUUUCAUGUAAAUCAGUCAUUUGAAACUUGGGAUUUAUUUUUCUAUUAGAAACUAAGUCUAAGUGGUGGUUACUACAUGAGCACACAAAAUCCUGUUUAAUUCGUAAACUAAACUAUAAUAAUAACUGUAUUUACUUGUUCAUAUUGGAUUUUUAUUGACUAAAAGCUUCCAACCUCUUUUUUAUGCAGCUAGGAUAACAGUGAUACUAAAACCCAUCAUAGAUUAGACCAUUCUACCCAAAAAGGUAACAAUAGGCCAAUAUCUCUGAAAAAUAUUUAACAAAAAAAAGCUAAAUAAAAUAUUAGAUAUAGAAUCUAGCAGUGCUUUAGAAGAAAUAUAUACUUUGUCCAGGUAGGGUUUAUUCCAAUAAUCUAAAAAUUAUUCAGUACUAAGAAUUAUAUACAAACGAUUAAUGGAUUUCAUCCCAUCAACAAAUCUAAAGUGAAAAAAUAUAUGAUCAUUUCCGUAGAUUUCCCAAAAUACAUUAGAUAAAACUCACCAUCUCUUUUAAAAAAAUUUUUAAUAGAACAGAAAUGGAGAAUUCCCUAACUGGAUAAAGUAGAUUUAUCUCAGCUCAAAAAUAAAUAGUAUGUUUAAUGUGGAAAGGAUAUCAUUAACUGCAUUAUUAUUAGCAUACUAAAUAUUAAAUUUAAUUGAAUUAACCUCUGGCAGGGGCCAAUAAGGUUAGACCAAAAAAGAUAAAGAACAUUAGAGAAACACUAAAAACUCCUACAAAGAUAAGAUAAUUCAGCAAUUAGUAGAGUACCAUGUUAAUCUAUAGAAAUCAAUUCCUUUGACAUAUAUAACUCACGAUUAGAAGACAUAACAGAA